UAACAAGGAUUCCCCUAGUAACUGCGAGUGAAGCGGGAAAAGCUCAAAUUUAAAAUCUGGCGGUCUUUGGCCGUCCGAGUUGUAGUCUGGAGAAGUGCUUUCCGCGCUGGACCGUGUAUAAGUCUCUUGGAACAGAGCGUCAUAGAGGGUGAGAAUCCCGUCUUUGACACGGACUACCAGUGCUUUGUGAUGCGCUCUCGAAGAGUCGAGUUGUUUGGGAAUGCAGCUCAAAAUGGGUGGUAAAUUCCAUCUAAAGCUAAAUAUUGGCGAGAGACCGAUAGCGAACAAGUACCGUGAGGGAAAGAUGAAAAGCACUUUGGAAAGAGAGUUAAACAGUACGUGAAAUUGCUGAAAGGGAAACGCUUGAAGUCAGUCGCGUCUGCCGGAACUCAGCCUUGCUUUCGCUUGGUGCAUUUUCCGGUAGACGGGCCAGCAUCGAUUUUGACCGUCGGAUAAGGGCCAGGGAAAUGUGGCACCCUCGGGUGUGUUAUAGUCUCUGGUCGCAUACGACGGUUGGGAUCGAGGAACGCAGCGCGCCGCAAGGCAGGGGUUCGCCCACUUUCGCGCUUAGGAUGCUGGCGUAAUGGCUUUAAACGACCCGUCUUGAAACACGGACCAAGGAGUCUAACAUGCCUGCGAGUGUUUGGGUGGUAAACCCGAGCGCGUAAUGAAAGUGAAAGUUGAGACCUCUGUCGUGGAGGGCAUCGACGCCCGGACCUGACGUUCUCUGACGGAUCCGCGGUAGAGCAUGUAUGUUGGGACCCGAAAGAUGGUGAACUAUGCCUGAAUAGGGUGAAGCCAGAGGAAACUCUGGUGGAGGCUCGUAGCGAUUCUGACGUGCAAAUCGAUCGUCAAAUUUGGG
rnacentral:rRNA from 1 species